rnacentral:tRNA from 1 species
AAACUUUUAGUAUAAUUUUAGUAUUUUUAAUUGCAGAUUAAAGGGUUUAGAGGUUUUA